rnacentral:tRNA from 1 species
CAAGAUGGAGCUUGUUGAGUUAAGCGUUCCAUUUACACUGGAAAAUAAUCUGUGCAAAUCAGUUUAUCUUGA